GAUGAGUUUGAUCGUGGCUCAGGACGAACGCUGGCGGCGUGCCUAAUACAUGCAAGUCGAGCGGAUCGAUGGGAGCUUGCUCCCUGAGAUCAGCGGCGGACGGGUGAGUAACACGUGGGUAACCUGCCUGUAAGACUGGGAUAACUCCGGGAAACCGGGGCUAAUACCGGAUAACAUUUUCCUCCGCAUGGAGGAGAAUUGAAAGGUGGCUUCGGCUACCACUUACAGAUGGACCCGCGGCGCAUUAGCUAGUUGGUGAGGUAACGGCUCACCAAGGCGACGAUGCGUAGCCGACCUGAGAGGGUGAUCGGCCACACUGGGACUGAGACACGGCCCAGACUCCUACGGGAGGCAGCAGUAGGGAAUCUUCCGCAAUGGACGAAAGUCUGACGGAGCAACGCCGCGUGAGUGAAGAAGGUUUUCGGAUCGUAAAACUCUGUUGUUAGGGAAGAACAAGUACCGUUCGAAUAGGGCGGUAC
rnacentral:rRNA from 1 species